GCCCGGGUGGCGGAAUUGGUAGACGCAGCAGACUCAAAAUCUGCCGCCCGCAAGGGUGUAUCGGUUCGACUCCGAUCCUGGGCA
rnacentral:tRNA from 1 species